UACGGAGGGGGCUAGCGUUGUUCGGAAUUACUGGGCGUAAAGCGCGCGUAGGCGGACCUGCAAGUCGGGGGUGAAAGCCCCGAGGCUCAACCUCGGAACUGCCUUCGAUACUGCGGGUCUCGAGUCCGGGAGAGGUGAGUGGAAUUCCUAGUGUAGAGGUGAAAUUCGUAGAUAUUAGGAAGAACACCAGUGGCGAAGGCGGCUCACUGGCCCGGUACUGACGCUGAGGCGCGAAAGCGUUGGGGAGCAAACAGGG
rnacentral:rRNA from 1 species